rnacentral:tRNA from 1 species
GGCGGUUCCUGGUUUCCUUGAAACGACCUCCAAGGCCUCGCAUUUUGGGUGCGGAAUUUUCUGA